CAGCUCAAUCCCUUCAGCUGGUCUAAGGUCUCCAACAUUAUCUAUUUGGAUUCACCAUGUGGAGUGGGUUUAUCAUACUCUAACGAUCCACGCAAUUAUGCGACAGGAGACCUUCAAACCGCCUCUGACACGCAUGCCUUUCUUCUCAAGUGGUUCGAGCUCUAUCCAGA